rnacentral:rRNA from 1 species
GUAGCGUGAUAAUUAGUUUUUUAAUUGAAAACUUGUAUGAAGGAUUGAACAAGAAAAUAUCUGUCUCUUUUUAAUUAUUUUUGAAUUUAACUUUUAAGUUAAAAGGCUUAAAUGUGUAUAAAAGACGAGAAGACCCCGUAGAGUUUUAUUUUUUAUUUAAUUUUAGAAUUAUUAUUGAGAUAGAAAAAUUAGUUGGGGUAACUUGAAGAAAAAAUUAAUUCUUCAAAUUUUUAAUCAUUGAUUUGUGAAUUUAAAAUCUAAUUUUUUAAAUUUAAAUAAAAUUACCUUGGGGAUAACAGCGUAAUUUCUUUUUAGAGUUCUUAUCAAAUAAGAAGAUUGCGACCUCGAUGUUGGAUUAAAAUUUAUUUUAGGUGAAGAAGCUUAUAAUUUAAGUCUGUUCGACUUUUAAAAUUUUACAUGA